CCUACGGGGGGCUGCAGUGGGGAAUAUUGCACAAUGGGCGCAAGCCUGAUGCAGCCAUGCCGCGUGUGUGAAGAAGGCCUUCGGGUUGUAAAGCACUUUCAGCGGGGAGGAAGGCGGUGAGGUUAAUAACCUCAUCGAUUGACGUUACCCGCAGAAGAAGCACCGGCUAACUCCGUGCCAGCAGCCGCGGUAAUACGGAGGGUGCAAGCGUUAAUCGGAAUUACUGGGCGUAAAGCGCACGCAGGCGGUCUGUCAAGUCGGAUGUGAAAUCCCCGGGCUCAACCUGGGAACUGCAUUCGAAACUGGCAGGCUAGAGUCUUGUAGAGGGGGGUAGAAUUCCAGGUGUAGCGGUGAAAUGCGUAGAGAUCUGGGGGAAUACCGGUGGCGAAGGCGGCCCCCUGGACAAAGACUGACGCUCAGGUGCGAAAGCGUGGGGAGCAAACAGGAUUAGAUACCCGGGUAGUC
rnacentral:rRNA from 1 species